GGCAACGAUGAGUCUUCGGGGCCACCUCCCACCCUUGUAUACUGUACCAAGUUGCUUCGGCGGGCCCGCCGUUCGCGCGGCCGCCGGGGGGGAACCCCUCCCCCCGGGCGAGCGCCCGCCGGAGACCCCAACGUGAACACUGUCUGAAGUUUUGUCGUCUGAGUUCGAUUGUAUCGCAAUCAGUUAAAACUUUCAACAAUGGAUCUCUUGGUUCCGGCAUCGAUGAAGAACGCAGCGAAAUGCGAUAAUUAAUGUGAAUUGCAGAAUUCAGUGAAUCAUCGAGUCUUUGAACGCACAUUGCACCCCCUGGUAUUCCGGGGGGUAUGCCUGUCCGAGCGUCAUUGCUGCCCUCAAGCCCGGCUUGUGUGUUGGGUCCUCGUCCCCCCCGGGGGACGGGCCCGAAAGGCAGCGGCGGCACCGCGUCCGGUCCUCGAGCGUAUGGGGCUUUGUCACACCGCUCUCGUAGGCCCGGCCGGCGCUGGCCGACGCUGAAAAGCAACCAUUAUUUCUCCAGGUUGACCUCGGAUCAGGUAGGGAUACCCGCUGAACUUAAGCAUAUCAAUAAGCGGAGGAA
rnacentral:rRNA from 1 species